rnacentral:lncRNA from 1 species
CAAAGCCACUGGCCCAGAUAACAUCAGCGGCAGAGUACUAAAACAACUUCAAAACAUUACGGCACCAAUCCUCACCAUUAUUUUCCAAAAAUCACUUACAACUGGCUGUAUACCAUCCGACUGGAAACAUGCAAAUGUCGCACCAGCAUACAAAAAAGGGGAAAAAUACAAUGCAGUCAACUACAGACCAAUCUCUCUCACUUGUAUCAGUUGCAAACUAAUGGAACAUGUCAUUACUAAACACCUAAUUAACCACCUAGAAAAAAACAAUCUAUUAUACGACCUUCAGCACGGCUUCAGACACUCUAGAUCAUGUGAAACACAACUUCUAUCUUUCAUACAAGAACUAGCUUCAAAUUCAGACAAUAACACCCAAACAGACCUUGUGAUUAUGGACUUUGCCAAAGCCUUUGACAAAGUCCCACAUCAAAGACUCUUAUAUAAACUACAUUUCUACGGUAUUCAAAAUGAAACACUUAACUGGAUCUCUGCCUUCUUAUCAAACCGCAC